CUUGAGGUUAGGAACUGGGUCCGAUUAAAUGAUUUCUCCAGCACCCACACCACCCACUGUGGCCCAGUGGUCAUCUGGCACAAAAUAUAUUAAGAAUAUAAUUUUGAAUUUAAAAGGAGAGAGAACACAGGCGGUCCAUGGUGGUCAGAGUUCAACUGAUGUAUUGUAGGAAGGGAGAAUAGAGAGAAAAGGUCAUUUUAGAUUUCAUGCAAUUAUUCAGAAUAUAUUUACUAAGCGUUUGCUACGUGCCAGGCACUUUUCUAGGUAUUAAGAAUUCUGCGGUGACCAAAAUAAAAAUGUCAUCCUCAGAGAUCUUGCAUUCUAGUGGGCAAGGAAAACGAUUAACAAGGUAAAUAAGUAAAUGGUACACAAUGCCAGGUAAUGACAAGGAUAUGCAGGAGAAAAAUAACAGAAAAGGGAGAAAGGAAGGGGACGGAUACUUAGCGGUGCAAUUUUAUUUAGGGCGCCAGGUAACACCGAGUGAGCCCAUCUGAAAGAAACAUAAAGGCAGGCUAAGAAAUAAAGAAUUCAUUUUUUUGAACAAAAAACUAAUUUGCGCUGUACACUUUCACCUAAAGCACAGUUAAAAAAACAGUAUUUAUAUUGUCAAAAAAAAAAAUUUUAGAAAAAUCCAGAAUGGGGAGAGGAAACGAAUGCAAACUCGGUCUGUGGGGUGCAGCGAGGAACGGGAAGUGAAGCACGUUAGGGGAGGAAAGAAAGGAGCAAGAAUGCAGCACACCCUUUAACUUCACUUGAAACGAAUCAUGUUUCUUUUCCACUUGGCAAAAGGCAACGAUUGUGCGAUUUUUCAGAAAAAUCCCUUUCCAGAGAGAGCCACGCUAGAGCUCUCUCCGGCGAGGGACCGUCUUUCCCGCCCCUCCAUCAGGGUAACUGCCACUACGGCUUCUGAUUGGCUUGGUGUAGGCGCGUGCGCUGCGCCUAUUGGUCUCCGCGCCGGCCCGUAGACUAGCGGCCAUCUUGGGUCCCGCGCCUCCUGCAGCGCCCUCUGGGAGUUGUAGUCCCGCGCUCCCCUCGGUCCAGUUGCGGGACUUUUGGCGCUCAGCUCCGGGUUCCCUUAGGUGGUCACCCCAGUGGGCAAGGCCCAGGCGGCGCUCCUGCCCCGCGCUCCCUCCCUCUGCCUUUCACUUCCCAGCAGCCAAGAUCUCGGAAGCUUUGAAGCUGAGCAAAGGGAAAUCCAGUGAGAGCAGCCUGUAAAGGUAUCCCAGGGAUCACCCGCCCAUCCAGACCCUUGAUAAAAGCUUCGUGCAUCCUACCGCUGAGGACUUCCAGGAGCUGGCAGUCAUCUGAAAGACUUCAACUUUGAGGAAAUGUCAUUCAGAUUUGGCCAACAUCUCAUCAAGCCCUCUGUGGUGUUUCUCAAGACCGAGCUCUCCUUUGCCCUUGUUAACAGGAAGCCUGUGGUGCCAGGACGUAUCCUUUUUUUUUUCUGGUUGCUUGUUUUAAGAGAGGAAGAAUAAAAAGCUUUCAAACCUAACUGACCAAAUGAAUACAGGAUUGGCCUCGCAUGUCCGUCCAGAAAAGCGUCCAGUAGCUCUAUGCUGGCUGAAUUUAAAGUGAAACUGCCAACUUCAGGAUCAUACGGAUGAUUCCAGUGAAUGCAAUGUGACAAGCAAGUGCCUGCUGGAUUCCUGCCUGGUUAGUAUUACCAUGCACAGAGCCCAGCCUUGUCACCAUUUUCUCCCAGAUUUUUGGUAUCAUUUCUAAGUUGUAGUUUCCCAACUUCCCCCUCCGUGCUUUGUCAGUUACAGCCUCGUGUGAAGAGUUAUGAGUCAAGUCUAAAAGCAGUGAAUGGAUUGAUGGCAGAAGGGGAAAGAUUCCUUGCCACUCCCUCUACUUGUGAGUUGCUCAAUGGGCAAGUCGGUUUUCAAGGCAGUUUAUUGCCAUCUUUAUGUGAAAUGAAACAUUUUAUUUUGCGUUUUGGGUAAACUCUUUUUAAAAACUGUAUUCAGGGUGGCCUUUGGGGAGUGUGCCAUUCAUGAGAGGCUUGUAAAUGUCACCUUUGAACAUGUAUCCCCUCUAACAUUUUGCUUUCCCCUGCAACCCUUUUUUUCUGAUGACUUUGCUCACUGACUUUAUUUUUUAUCGCUUUCAGAGGAGGCAAAGAGCUGUCAAAUCGGGCUGAAGAUACGUUUUUGAAGCAAAAUUGUUUGCUUUAGUCUCAAAAGGGCCACUUCAGUCCCUCCUUCUCCCCAGCUAAAGCAAACACUUCUGCUCAUUGCAAACAGCAUUGAGAGCCAAUUGAAUGAAUAGGCUUUGGCCUCUGUGGUGUAACACUGUAGAAGGAUAUGUCAGAAUGUCUUUAAUCCGUUAAUUUCUUGUUACUGGAAAGCGCUCUUGCAGAAUGUCUUGGUGAGAGAACAGGUGUAUUUUGGAGAUUGUGUCUUCAUAAUUCUGCAGUGAACGUUUUAUUCACGGAUCUUGGUGCAGCCCCACUAUGGUUCAUGGCUUAAAUAAAUUCGAACCAAUACAUUAAUAUUUCUUCCCCCUCCGACUACCCCCUCCCCCCACCCCGCAUUGUGCUGUGUCUACCUUUCAUCUUGGGUUGAGCAUGAAACAUGGAUUUGAACAUUAGUGGAACUCAUCUGGGGACUGGGGCUUUUACUGUAAAUAAAAUGACUCAUUUGUUAUGUCCUGUUGUUUUCAGCAGACAGUAUAUUGAUCUUUGGGUUGCUAUUCAGAAUGGCAUAAGGAGCUUGAACAUAAGGGGAACACAGCAACAUUCGUGGACAAACUGAAUGUGGUGUGUAAUGACUAAGACAAACUCGGUUGCUGGCCAUACCAUAUUACACAAAUCAUUUGUCAACAGCUUAUCGAAUCAGUUAUUAAAAAGCAGCUUUUUUUUUUUUUUCCAACGAGAGCAUCGCACAGAAUGUUAUCAGGGCCAAACGAUGUUAGGAUGAUGCAUAGAGCAUAGCCUUACAAAGUGUAUUUAUAAAGAAUUAGACCAGGCAACUUAAAGGAUGUUUUGCUGACUCAUUCGAAGCCAAAGUUUGGUGCAAUGGAAACUGUGCUUUGCGAUCCAAACUCGAGAGAUAAAGGAGAGAACACUGACCAAUGUCUUUUAGAAUAAGAUUUUGCCUUUCCAAGUGGAGCAGUAUUUAGUUUUCUCUGUUUUCUGACUAUUGCCAUGCAGAAUAUUCCUGAAAUCAAUGAAAAAAUAACAAAAAUUGCUUCAUUACUUACAGCGAUUUUUACGGAAUAGAUGCUAUAGAUAAAAAUGCCCUUUUAGUCCUUCUGUAAAAAGCAGGAAUAUUUGUCAUUUCCUGAGGAGGUUAUAGUCUUGUGAAUUCCCUUAAUUGUUCAGGAAACUGCAGUUAUUAGUGAUCUGAUGAUCUUUUAUUUCCAAAAGAGUUUCUUUUUAAACCUUCCUGUGCAAAUAAAAUGCAUGCAAACACUAUUUUAGCGUUUUUAUUGCUAAAGAUAGAUUUUGGCUCUUAAAGUUGCCCUAAGCACAUGUCUUUUCCCCCCUUGUGCCUGCUUACUGUAUAUUGUUGUUGUUGUUGCCGUUAGGUGCCAUCGAGUCAGUUCCGACUCAUAGCGACCCUAUGCACAACAGAACGAAACACUGCCCGGUCCUGCACCACCCUUACAAUCGUUGUUAUGCUUGAGUUCAUUGUUGCAGCCACUGUGUCAAUCCACCUCGUGGAGAGUCUUCCUCUUUUCCACUGACCCUGUUCUCUGCCAAGCAUGAUGUCCUUCUCCAGGGACUGAUCCCUCCUGACAACAUGUCCAAAGUAUGUAAGAUGCAGUCUCGCCAUCCUUGCCUCUAAGGAGCAUUCUGGCCGCACUUCUUCCAAGAUGGAUUUGUUCCUUCUUUUGGCAGUCCGUGGUAUAUUCAAAAUUCUUUGCCAACACUGCAAUUCAAAGGCGUCAACUCUUCUUCGGUCUUCCUUAUUCAUUGUCCAGCUUUCACAUGAAUAUGAUGUGAUUGAAAAUACCAUGGCUUGGGUCAGGCGCACCUUAGUCUUCAGGGUGACUGCUGUAUAUUAGCUAGCUUAAAAUACUCUUGGGGAGAUGUUUAAAGACCUUCUCGCCAUCCUUUGCCCUAAGCUCUAAUGGGGUGAGUUGAUUUUCUUGUGGUUGGAUUUUCUUUUCUGGGCUUUAUUUGGCAGAUCAUCAUGUUCAAAGGAUAUGCAUAUAGCUGUGAUUGCUCAUUUAAUCCCCCCCACCCCCAUUUCUAUGGAAGAAGUCUACAUAAAUGUGCACCUACCCUUAAGUUAUUAGAGGAUGUUGCCACCAGCUAUAGGGCCGCCAUGAGUCAGAAUCAACUCAACAGCUAGAACAAAAUUUUUUUUUUUUUUUGGUGCCCAUAGGUUUUUUUUUUAAUUGUGCUUUAAGUGAAAGUUUACAAAUCAAGUUAGUCUCUCAUACAAAAACUUAUACACGCCUUGCUAUGUACUCCUAGCUGCUCUCCCCCUAAUGAGACAGCACACUCCUCCUCUACACCCUGUAUUCCCUGUGUCCAUUCAACCAGGUCCUGUCCCCCUCUGCCUUGCCAUAUCGCCUCCAGGCUGCAGCAGCCCACAUAGUCUCAUAUGUCUACUUGAACCAAGAAGCUCACUCCUCACCAGUAUCAUUUUCUGUCCUAUAGUCCAGUCCAAUCCCUGUCUGAAGAGUUGGCCUGGGGAAUCCAGUCUUGGGCUAACAGAGGGCCAUGACCUCUGGGGUCCCUCCAGUCUCAGUCAGACCGUUAAGCCUAGUCUUUUUACAAGAGUUUGAGGUCUGCAUCCCGCUGUUCUCCUUCUCUGUCAGGGAUUCUCUGUUGUGUUCCCUGUCAGGGCAGUCGUGGGUGGUAGCUGGGUACCAUCUAUUUCUUCUGGUCUUAGAACCAACUUUUGAUGGCAUUGGUCAGCAGGAACAAAGGAAGCUCUUGGAUGCUUUCAUCCUUCUCUAAG